UCCAUCUCUGGAAGUUUCCAGUGAUGUCAAGGGCAGGUAAGGUUCUUCGCGUUGCAUCGAGGCGGCUUUUUAAGUCGGAUGUGAAAUCCCCGAGCUUAACUUGGGAAUUGCAUUCGAUACUGGGAAGCUAGAGUAUGGGAGAGGAUGGUAGAAUUCCAGGUGUAGCGGUGAAAUGCGUAGAGAUCUGGAGGAAUACCGAUGGCGAAGGCAGCCAUCUGGCCUAAUACUGACGCUGAGGUACGAAAGCAUGGGGAGCAAACAGGAUUAGAUACCCUGGUAGUCCAUGCCGUAAACGAUGUCUACUAGCCGUUGGGGCCUUUGAGGCUUUAGUGGCGCAGCUAACGCGAUAAGUAGACCGCCUGGGGAGUACGGUCGCAAGACUAAAACUCAAAUGAAUUGACGGGGGCCCGCACAAGCGGUGGAGCAUGUGGUUUAAUUCGAUGCAACGCGAAGAACCUUACCUGGCCUUGACAUACUAGAAACUUUCCAGAGAUGGAUUGGUGCCUUCGGGAAUCUAGAUACAGGUGCUGCAUGGCUGUCGUCAGCUCGUGUCGUGAGAUGUUGGGUUAAGUCCCGCAACGAGCGCAACCCUUUUCCUUACUUGCCAGCAUUUCGGAUGGGAACUUUAAGGAUACUGCCAGUGACAAACUGGAGGAAGGCGGGGACGACGUCAAGUCAUCAUGGCCCUUACGGCCAGGGCUACACACGUGCUACAAUGGUCGGUACAAAGGGUUGCUACACAGCGAUGUGAUGCUAAUCUCAAAAAGCCGAUCGUAGUCCGGAUUGGAGUCUGCAACUCGACUCCAUGAAGUCGGAAUCGCUAGUAAUCGACUAAGGGUUUUUCAAAAACAAGAAAAG
rnacentral:rRNA from 1 species